GCGCUCGCUCCGGCAGCACAAAUAGCAAAACUGGGACCGCCACAGAGAAGAGCAGCACGGCCCCUGUACAAGGUGGCACGCAAAUUUGCAAAGCGGUCCGUACAUUU
rnacentral:snRNA from 1 species